GUCGCUGUGCGGCGUGCACCGUGAGCCCUCAACUAGCGCGCGUGUGGCCACUGCAUCAGGUAAUUAACAACCUCCACCACAACUCCACAAGCCCCAUCGCAAGUUUGUUUUUUCGUCAUGUGCUCAAGACUGAAAGAAUUCUGCUGUAUUUAGGGCAUGUACGGUUGUGCCAGUAAAGCUAUUUGAUAUAUGCCACUAUAGAACUACUAUCAGCCUUUUCAUGUCCCUGCAAAAGGGGUUUGCAUUAUGUAUGUUCUUGUUGUAUAUCAAUGAGAAUAGCAAGAACAGCAGAGGAAUUGAUGACAAAAAUAAGGAGCCACAUUCUUCUUAUUUCAAAGAAAGGCAUCAAGUAGAUUCAUGUGAGUUUUUGGAACUAAAGCAGCAUAAAACGUAUGAUGAUCUAAUUAUAUUCACAAGUAAUUUCUUUAUGAACAGGUAGAAUGACUGGGAAGAUUAUCUUUUGAGAGCCGCUCCUCUCCCCUCCCUGGCCGGAGGAAUCCCCACAUCCCCAAGCUCGACGGGCUUGCCAGACGACUGAUUGAGGUCCUCGCCAUGGCCACUCACACAGUCGGUGAGUCCCGUAGGCUGCCGACGUCACCAACCGUCGCGCGCCGCCGGUCUGCCUAGCCCACUGUCAGCUGCGGGCGGCCAGCUGGGUCGAACUCCAUGCAUGUUCCAUGCGGGCCAAACGAGACCGCCCUCCACGCCGGGACACUGACAUGCCGGCCUGCCCGUCCCUUGCUCCACGUCCCGGCCUGGACGUCCCCUGCUCCGGACGGACGCACCAAACUCCACAACUUUCCGGCAAUCCGACCACGGGCAGACACAUUUUCUUCAGGUUCGCACAACUUCCCUGUCGUCGAUCAAUGGACCUGCAUUUGAAUGAAAACAACUGUAUUUAGUUGGCUAUUGUACAAUAUUUGGUUUUGGUCAUAUUAAUGCAGGGGAAUUCAGAUUACAGUACUGUGUAAUCAUAGUUGUAGCAGCACAGAGCAGAGCCUCUCCGAUCGGUAAGGAAAAUUCAGGAAGCACAUCACACCAUUUCUUACCUAGCCUACUGCAUUGUUGUUGCUUCAGCAAUCACGCUGGUGCAUCGAUCCUCCUAGCACAUAUAUAAAUUAAAUUGUGUAUAGAUACGAACUGCUUGAGCAAUCACGCUGGAUUUUCAUGACCACCUUCUGCCCUUCUCCAGUAAUAUUUGUCAGAUCCUUGGCGUGAUCUAUGUACUAGGUAUUAGAACUGUAAGUAUAACAUUGUCUGAUGAUGUCCUAUACAUGUGAAUUGCAGUUUGUAAACAUUCAUUUGCCGAAGAAAUCAUGGGAUUUAGUUAUAUCUAUUUUCUCAUAUUGAUUCUUCAUGCUAUAAAUCCAUAGAAGAAACAAAGCAGAUUGAUUAAAUACCACUAUAAGCAGUUUUUUCCCAAAUCCUGUUACAACUAAGUGAGCCUGACAUUUUGCAGCAAAGAAUAAUCAAGAAAUUUGCAGCAUAAUAUAUCAAAAAGUUUAGAGAGGAGAGAAAAAUGGAAAGAACUUUCUCAAAAAAAAAAUGUAGGUGAACUCAAUAGGAGAAGUUCAAUUUCAGCCAGAACAUUAAUUAUAUAACCUUUAUGCAUUCAGGAAAAUAUGGACGUGAAGAGAACACCUUAAAUUAGUUAGGCGAUACACGUUUACUCGAGUGCUCUGAAAGCUACACUAACCUGGCAGAAUAUGACCACAAUUCAGUAGUUUCGUGAGGCCUGUGGUGGCCAAGGUUUGAAGACUGAGUUUUCAAAGCUGAAUGUGAUGUCCAGUCUACAUUUCACGGUGACAACAACGUUCUACUUCUACUGCAGCAGGUUAUUUUAUUUUUUGUUCAUCGUUCGUGCAUGUGUUAUAAAAGUUACUCCAAACUUGGUUUUGUAUCUCUGUAAUUUGUAUAUAAAUAUUGGCUUUGUUUUUGGAGGACGAGAUGACUGCUCCUGCUGGGUAUAACACUCUUGGUCGUAUUAUGGCGCCACUGGCCAGAGAAGCCAAAAGGAGGCACGACUAGCUCCGUCUUCUCGCAGUGACGAUGGCCUUCCUCUAAAAAGUUUGAUGUCUCAACCGCCACACACGCUGGGGAAAGCAAGUCUGAGCCUGAGAAACCGUAUCGCUUGGUACAGGGAAUUUGUUGGCUAAACUUUGAGUUGAAUACUGCUUGAUUGCACACUUGAGUUGUAUACUCUCUCUUCACGUCAAUGCUCCUGUGCUCCGACCCUCCCUGACCCCUCCCAGCAAGCAGCAGAGUCUCUCGGGUUCGAGCUCCACCGGGCCGCCGCCGGCGGCGUCCAUGUUCGUUGGGCGGAGCACAAGCUGU